rnacentral:rRNA from 1 species
UAAUACGAAGGGUGCAAGCGUUACUCGGAAUUACUGGGCGUAAAGCGUGCGUAGGUGGUCGUUUAAGUCCGUUGUGAAAGCCCUGGGCUCAACCUGGGAACUGCAGUGGAUACUGGGCGACUAGAGUGUGGUAGAGGGUAGCGGAAUUCCUGGUGUAGCAGUGAAAUGCGUAGAGAUCAGGAGGAACAUCCAUGGCGAAGGCAGCUACCUGGACCAACACUGACACUGAGGCACGAAAGCGUGGGGAGCAAACAGGAUUAGAUACCCUGGUAGUCCACGCCCUAAACGAUGCGAACUGGAUGUUGGGUGCAAUUUGGCACGCAGUAUCGAAGCUAACGCGUUAAGUUCGCCGCCUGGGGAGUACGGUCGCAAGACUGAAACUCAAAUGAAUUGACGG